rnacentral:rRNA from 1 species
UACGAAGGGGGCUAGCGUUGCUCGGAAUUACUGGGCGUAAAGGGCUCGUAGGUGGCCAACUAAGUCAGACGUGAAAUCCCUCGGCUUAACCGGGGAACUGCAUCUGAUACUGGAUGGCUUGAGUUUGGGAGAGGGAUGCGGAAUUCCAGGUGUAGCGGUGAAAUGCGUGGAUAUCUGGAGGAACACCGGUGGCGAAGGCGGCAUCCUGGACCAACACUGACACUGAUGAGCGAAAGCCAGGGGAGCAAACGGG